rnacentral:misc_RNA from 1 species
GAAAUGCGAUAAGUAAUGUGAAUUGCAGAAUUCAGUGAAUCAUCGAAUCUUUGAACGCACCUUGCGCUCCUUGGUAUUCCUUGGAGCAUGCCUGUUUGAGUAUCAUGAAAUCUUCAAAGUAAAUCUUUUGUUAACUCAAUUGGUUUCUACUUUGGUAUUGGAGGUCUUUGCAGCUUCACACCUGCUCCUCUUUGUUCAUUAGCUGGAUCUCAGUGUUAUGCUUGGUUCCACUCGGCGUGAUAAUUUAUCUAUCGCUGAGGACACUGUAAAAGGUGGCCAAGGUAAAUGCAGAUGAACCGCUUCUAAUAGUCCAUUUACUUCGACAAUACUUUUAUGAUCUGAUCUCAAAUCAGGUAGGACUACCCGCUGAACUUAAGC